rnacentral:rRNA from 1 species
UACAGAGGUCUCAAGCGUUGUUCGGAUUCAUUGGGCGUAAAGGGUGCGUAGGCGGCGCGGUAAGUCGGGUGUGAAAUCUCGGAGCUUAACUCCGAAACUGCAUUCGAUACUGCCGUGCUUGAGGACUGGAGAGGAGACUGGAAUUUACGGUGUAGCGGUGAAAUGCGCAGAUAUCGGGAAGAACACCCGUGGCGAAGGCGGCUCUCUGGGACGGUACUGACGCUGAGACGCGAAAGCGUGGGGAGCGAACAGG